UUUGUAGGAGCGAAACAAAAGAGAAAUUUCGCCCCUACAAACACCAGCACAGCCAAGUGGAAGAUGACUGACAGUCACAUUCACACUACCCCCGUGCUCUUCGGGUUCCCAUUAAAUGACUGAACGUAUAUUUUUCAAGGCUGGAAGAGUUAUACCAUUCCUCACACGUGUCCUGAUUUGGGCUGUCGCCUUUGGGCCGUGUGUGGGCUUCGCCCUGGGUUUUGGAGGCCUGCCCUCGAAAUGGCUCAGGGCCUGUGACUAGGGAUUGCAGAGGUAUAGAGAGAGGGGGAGUUGGGAUGGCGGUCGAGUUCAGGUCUGGCUUGGACGACCCCUGGUACGACGUCCUGAUAGGGGAAGGAUGGCUGUGAUCGACUGAGAGUGAAGUUCGUCGGCUACGGCGACGACCAUGACGAGGUUUAUGAAGUGAGCGAGUUGAGUUCGUUCAACGACAUUGACGAGUUCAGGCGGAGGUUCAGGCAGGUGUCCGCACAAGUUCAGGACACGGAGUGCGUCUCUGCCGCCACUAAUACGGCGCCGUUUUCUCAGCACCACCACCACCAAUGUCUCAAAGAAAUGGGCCGUGAAGGAAGUGACGAAGUCCAAUUUGCCCGGGUCCCUGGAGGAGUUCAAGAACCACCUGUCCACUUCCGACUUCGUGCCCAUCUCGCUUCGACACCGCCGACACGUCGUAUUGCAAGGCUAAAUUCAACUUUGUAUUGUUCCCAAGGGAUGUAUUGAAGAUGAGGAUGCCAACUUAUAGAUUUUCAGUUCAAACAUCACAUUUGACUUCCAUGGCGGAAGAAGGUUUUGAUUUCAAUGCCUGCGUAUAUAAUGGAGCGUGGAUUAGAUUCUGCAGAUUUGAUUUCAUUCCUGGUAGAACUUAAUUUUCAUGUUAAUGGCGAGGCAUAUAACAUAAAUACAUUGAAUGAGAGGCAAAAGAAAAUAGUCAAGGAUCUUGCAGAUUUGGGACUGAUCAAACUUCAGCAGGGAAGGAAAGACAGUUGGUUUAUACCUACUAACUUAGCUACUAAUCUUUUAGUUAGCUUGACAGACUCAUCAUCAAGGAAACAAGUAGGUUAUUUGUACUCAUUCUAGCUUUGUCUCUAAUCGUUUAUUCCACAACUAAUUCCUAAUCUUCAAGACAGCUGAUGUGCAUCCAUACAUGCUACUUACGAGAUUUUUUACUCACUUCUUUGUUCGGGGAUUUGUUGUAGUAGAAACAAACUUCAGGCUCUAUGCCCACUCAACAUCUAAACUACGUUGUGAAAUUUUAUGUCUUUUCCUAGCUGCCCUCCCCUUUUAGGGGCGGAUCAACGGUGGGUCAAAGUUGGUCCAUUGACCACAUGGAUGCCGGAAAGUUGGCUGGGAGGGCACCCAAAUUGUUUCUCGCAUCUUGGUUAAGAUGGGUGGCCGAGGUUUCAAAUAGGUUGUGCACUCUAUGUGUGCAAGCCAAAAUUGUAGUAUGGUUUUCAAGUUGCAUAUUUAUUCAUAUCUCAUUAGUUUCUGGUUUUCUCUUUCAUCCUCUCGACAAAUUUCGAUAUCAAAAUUUGAGAUAUUUUGGAUGUUGAAUGUUAUUCAACGUUGGCCAACGAAGGUUAUUCAGUUAA